rnacentral:tRNA from 1 species
GGCUUAAUAGUCAAAAGUAAUGAUUUUAAAUUGCAAAUUUAAAGGUAAAUAAUUUUUUAAGCCU